AAAUCGAAUUAGCCUUAGAAUAUUAAUGAAAGCCAUCUUAUUUUUUCAGAACUAGUAAUACAUUGUUGAUGGAAGCCGCUAUUCUCGUCAUGCAAUAGUGGAUUGGCUCAAAAUCCAAUUUGCAACCAAAUCCGGCAUUACUCAGCACGGGGCCCAGUGCUGCGACCCCAAAUGCAUUAAUGGAUGUUUGGGGAAGACAAGAAUGAUGAUGCUAGGGUGCAGUGUUCUCUGCAACUGGAAAAGGCAUCAGACAAAAAGGGGUGGUUAUCUCUAUUCACAACAGUGAUAUGGCUAAGCUUGGGCUGAUCAUGAGCUGUGCAACCAGGACGAGUUUUCGUGGAUUAGUGUUCACCAACUUUGGGUGCCAGUGAAUGAAAAGUCCCACAGUAUUACUUUGUGCCAAACUAAUAAUGGUAGCCCUUGGUUACCAAUAUUAGUUUGAGUAUAGACAAUUAGUAGGUAAUGGUGAUGUUUUGUAUAUUAUAUAAAAAUUAGCUCAGCUUGUACUUGAUAUGACUCAAUAUAGUGCACCACCCAGUGAGAAAUUAUAUAUAGUCAAUUAAGUCAAUUAUACUGCUAAUUAUUCAUGAUAAAUUGAAUUGUUCACAAUGGAUAUAAUUGUGUAUGUA